rnacentral:rRNA from 1 species
AUACGGAGGGUACGAACGUUAAUCGGAAUUACUGGGCGUAAAGCGCGCGUAGGUGGUUUGUUAAGUGGGAUGUGAAAGCCCUGGGCUCAACCUGGGAACUGCAUUCCAAACUGCCGGGCUAGAGUAUGGUAGAGGGAGGUAGAAUUUCCUGUGUCGCGGUGAAAUGCGUAGAUAUAGGAAGGAAUACCGAUGGCGAAGGCAGCCUCCUGGACCAAUACUGACGCUGAGGUGCGAAAGCGUGGGGAGCAAACAGGAUUAGAAACCCCAGUAGUCC